UUAAAAGAAAUAAAAGAGUGCGUCGCAUCUGUCACAGAAUUGGAGGGACUAACUGUGUAAAAUACCCAUUAGGGUAAUAAUGCACAACCCUCUUUCCUUUACAAGACGCCGUUUGAUAUUUUUAAAAAGAAAUAAAAUAAAAUAAAACUUUCAAAUCACUCUAAUCUGCCAUUCUUUAAGAAAAUAAAGCAAAAAAGUGAAACCCUAGCCCCCCUUCUUUUUCUCUCCACCGCUUGAGAAACUAAGAGCCACUCUUCCUCAACUCUGAUUUGGACGGAGAGAAGAAGAGCUUCGACGGCGCCACGGUGGUCAACAGAGGCGGAGCUUGCUAUUUUGGUGCAAUGCUUGGUUGGCGGUGGCUAGGGUGUCAGGUAAGCCUCGGGACGAGGCACGGAUGGUACGCCCGAGGGAGCGGCGCACAUGGGAAAGGCAGGGAACCCUAGGGUUCCCUGAUGUUUUUUUUUUAAAUUUUUGGGCCCAAUUGGGCCAAUUUAGAUUUUGGGCCUUGGGCCGGGUAUUGUAAUUGGGCUUCGAGAUUGGGUUAACUAUUUAGUUUGGAGGCCCGGGAAAAUUUGGGCUGUACAGAUAACUUUGCUAAAGUAGCGUACACGUGGAUUGCCACGUCAUCAAUUAA